GAAUGCGAUUUGCAAGCCAUUCUUGGAAAACAUAAAAUCCAUCAAAAAGUGUUUAUGACUACAGAAUCAGAAAGUAUCUAUUAACAUCUUUCGCAAGAAUAAAAGGAAAUCACCAGAGCAGCUGGCAUAUAUACAGACACAGGAUGACACCUCAACAUGACUAAUCACAGUUGAAAUUCAAGUGGUAAAGGAUUGAUUUACCACCAAAGCAGAGCAAGUACCACCAAGACAACGAUCAACAAAAGAAGAUUCUUCAAAACAUUGUCAGCAUGGUGACCUCGACUCAUUGGCUGGGGGAAUCCAUGUGCAUGGCCACCAUGAAAUGCAUGAUAUCCAUAUGGAAAACCAGAUGUUGUCCUGUAUACUGUAGCAUCCGGGAAACCAUGAAA
rnacentral:misc_RNA from 1 species